rnacentral:lncRNA from 1 species
AUCUAACUUUUACAUCAGUGGGUCCUCAGCUGCCUUCUGCAGAAGAAUCUGGCUUGCAUGGGUGCUUCUAUAUUUCUGUGGUUUUAAAUAUGUCCUUGUAUAACAUCAGUCAGACACAGGAGUACGGAGGAAAGAGGAAAAAGAAAAGUGAAAGAAAAUGAAGAAAAAUGACAUCCUGUUCAGUACAAAUGGUUCUUCCCUGGGCUGAAGAGGGCAGAGGGAAAGAAUUACAGAAAAUUUUCAUCACCAGUUGAAAGGCAAACCUGAAAGGAGCUGAGAGGAAACCGGAGGGAGUGAUUCUGUAGUAAAGGGGGAAGAAAAGAUUAAGAUCUGACCUAGAUACAAAAAUUGCUCCUAUCCUGCCCCUCAUUUGCUGGGUCAGGAGAGGUAACAAGAAGAGCAAGAUGUUCCAAGCACUGGUACAGAAUACCUCCUAGGAUCUGAGCCCAGCUCUGUGCUAACACCAGGUUCCUGCUGCACUGCCUGCGAGCUGCUGCCUGCCUGUGUGCCUCUGGGAAGUGCUUUGUUCAACAUAUCCCCAGUGCUCAGCAGCUCUCAGCACCAGGUGAAAGCCAAGAGGUGGAGAUGAUGCAUGUGGAGCGACAGCUUUGCAGUGGAGACAACAGCCAGCUCACCCGUUAGCUCCCAGUACUUCCUGGAUCCUUUCUUGCCUGUUAUGCCAGGACCCCUAUGACAAGGCUUCCUUACACCGACCGUUAAGUCUGCUUCCCCAGACAAUCUUGUGCCAGCAAGGCUUCCUUUCUAUGGAGCUCAUUUACCAACAAUUUGACACAAAUAUUUCUUGCUCGAAAUGCAAGCUCUCUUACAUGAACAUCGAUGCUGUGUGUACAUAUAUAUUUCGAGAAAACAUUGAUUUGAUCCACUGA